rnacentral:rRNA from 1 species
AUUGAACGCUGGCGGCAUGCCUUACACAUGCAAGUCGAACGGCAGCACGGGAGCAAUCCUGGUGGCGAGUGGCGAACGGGUGAGUAAUGUAUCGGAACGUACCUUUCAGUGGGGGGAUAACGUAGCGAAAGUUACGCUAAUACCGCAUAUUCUGUGAGCAGGAAAGCAGGGGAUCGCAAGACCUUGCGCUGAUUGAGCGGCCGAUAUCAGAUUAGCUAGUUGGUGAGGUAAAGGCUCACCAAGGCGACGAUCUGUAGCGGGUCUGAGAGGAUGAUCCGCCACACUGGAACUGAGACACGGUCCAGACUCCUACGGGAGGCAGCAGUGGGGAAUUUUGGACAAUGGGCGCAAGCCUGAUCCAGCCAUGCCGCGUGAGUGAAGAAGGCCUCGGUU